rnacentral:lncRNA from 1 species
UAGAGACAGGGUUGGAAAUGGUGCUGGUGGAACCCUGAGGAUGUGCCCAGCAAGGAAAGGUGUGUUACAGGUUGCUUCUGACUCUUGGGUCCAAAGUUCCUCUCCUGAUAGUGGGUACACAGUUUUUCCUUUACAACUAAGGGUCAUUUCCGUGCUGCUGGUGGAGCGCUAAGACUAAACGGUUUGGUAGGCCGCCUGGGGUCUCACUGCCUUUGGAUUCUCCAGCAUCAUAACCCAGAAUACAAAAUAUCUGGCUUGAUUCCUGAGCAUGCAGUUGUCCCAAAUCAGCCUUCUGUCACAUGUAUGGCAUCAGGAAACCAGUGCUUGAGGAUCUGAAUGGAGUGUGAAACAGCACUAGUGUUUUGUCUGGCCAGGCUGUACUCCUCACCGGGAUCUAUCUGCCAAAUUUCUCCCCCGAGUGCCUCUUCAUUUUUCCUCUUGAACCAAUGCUUCCUCUCAUUCAUCUCCAGGGAAAGGGAUUUGCUAAGAAGGCAAUCGCAUGUUUUAAGGUGAGCAGAUGAAUUUCCAGCUGGUGACCUGAUGUGAAGUGGGAUGGAUCAGUUGAUGGACGUAGACCAGUGGUGUUGGAAAAGGAGGAAACAGUGCCAUAGGAGACUUUGAGAGACAAAGAUAUUGCCCUCUGUCAGGUGGGAUAUAGUUUUCAUUAGAGGGAGAGUAGGUUGGAAAUCAGCUGUCAAGUGCACAACCCUAGUGCAGUCCGUCCCUGGUUUUGGUCAGGAGGCAAAAGGUCCUCAGAGUGGUUAUUAGAGAGAAUGAUUGCUAGAGCACCAGCAAAGCCCAGAGGCUGCUUGGGAUCAGCCUGUGCCAGCACAGAGCCAGAGUCGAAGAUGGGGCUGGUGGAUCCCCCAGGACAUGCCUAGGGAGCAGGGGUAGGACACAAAGCACCACUGACUCUCAGGAUAAUUACCUCACCUGAGAGAAAGGACACUGUUCUGCCUCCCCAUCUGUGGGGCGCUCUCAGACAGCUCAGGUGGCCUCAAGUCCAGACACUUGGGCAGGCUGGCAAGAGUAGUGACUGCCUUUGGAUUCUGCGGAGGCAGAAAACUGAACACAGAUGUAGUUGUCUUAGCUACUGGACAUGCAGUGCUCCAGGAUCAUGCCUGCACCAUGUUCAGCAUCUGGAAAGCUGGGUGGGUGGUCAUGAAUGGAGAGUGGAAAAGCAGAGGUUCCUUGGUGGGAAGGUUGUACAUUUCCUGAAACUUGUCUCUUGAGGAUUCUUUGAAAAUUUCCUUCUAUUUCUUCCAUUCGAGCCUCUCCCCCCUUUCAUUCACCCCUAAGGGAAAAAAUCUUAGCUCAAGACAGGUCACAUAAAUUAAGAGGGGAGGCUGAUCUAAUGUAAAUCCAGUUACUUGAUUUGGAGUGGGUUCAGCUCAUAGGCUAAGAGGAAUGCUAAGGGAUAGGGAGGAGUGAGUGCCAUGGAUGACUGUGAGAGGGAAAUACCUGCCUCCUGGAAGGCACUUGGUUGUUCCUAGAAGGAAAGGAGGAAUUACAUCAGCUCUCUGAGGUGCACGAGCCCAGUGCAGUCCAUGGGCUUGUUUAGGAGGCAGGAGUGGGAGGGCUCUGGGUUGUUACUAGAGGAAAUGGCCACCAGAGGGCCCCGAAGCACCGGGCAAGCCCAGCACCUGCUUGAUGUUGGCACUUCCAGGCUCAGAGAUGGGGAGGGGUGGAUUCCCUCAGGAGGUGUCUGGUGAGGAGGGGAAGGUUACAGGCCAGCCUUGACUCUCCAGUCAAAAUUGGCUAACCCAGUAAAAGGUAAAUGGUUCCACCUUCAACACAUCUGGGUCACUUGCAGUCAGCUCAGGUAGACCAAAGUCCACACCCUUGGACCAGCAAUCAUGGGUCUGGCUGACUUUUGGAUUCUCCCAAAGGAGAACUCUAAAUCCACAAGUAGUUGGUCAGAAUAUUUGGCUUUUCCAGAGCCAGGAUUGCACGGUGUUUGCCUAGGAGAGCUGAAACCAUUGUUCCUACAGGGAAAGGAUGAUUUACAUUGGCUCUGAGGUGGACAAGCCCAGGGCAGCCCCAUGGACUUGUUUCAGAGGGAGGAGGAAGGGCUUUGGGUUGUAAUUCAAGAGAUUGGCCACCAGAGGGCAACAGAGCCCAGCAGAUGCUUGGUAUUGGCCUAUCCCAGCCCAGAGGUGGAGUUUGACGUGGGGGUGGUGGAUCAGCAGUGGUCAUGCCUUGUGAAGAGGGCUGGGUUACAGGUCUCCUUUGACUCUUGGGUCUAAAUUAGCUCACCUGAUAGGAAGGACCUUGUCCUGCUCUUCCCAUCUGCGGGUCACUUUCUGACAGCUCAGGUAGCCUGAAGUCCAGAUGAUUGGACAGUCCGUGAAGCGUUCUGACUGCUUUGGAUUCUGCAGAGGCUGCAUCUGAGACAAAAGGGUGUGGGAUGGAAUACCGGGCUUGCAGCGCUCCCAGAACAGGCUUGCGCAGUGUGUGGCCUCUGGGCAGCUGGGUGGGUGGCUGUGAAUGGAGGGUGCAAAAGCAGCAUUUCUCUGGUCAGCAGGUUCAUCCAUCCCAGAGACUCAUCUCUUGAAGGUUUUCUGUAAGAUUCCUUCUUUUCCUUCCGUCUGAGCUUCUCCCCUCCUCUCAUUCACCCCUGAUGGUGAAAAUCUCACCUCGACCCAAGUGGCAGAAAUGAAGACGGGGAGGCUGAUUCAUUGAAAUCUGGUCACGUGAUUGGGAGUGGGUUCGGCUCAAUGACUUAGAGGGGAAGGAUUGGGAGGCGUGAGCACCAUUGCUGACUAUGAGAGGAAAAUGGUAGUUUUAGAAUGAGAGGAGGUAUUACAGCAACUACCCAGUGCACAAGCCCAGUGCAGUCCAUCCAGGGGUCUGUUCAGGAGGCAGGAGGCAGGCCUCUGAGCUGUCAUUAGACGUAAUGCCCGCCAGAGGGCGCCAAAGCGCUGGCCAAGCCCGGUAGCUGCUUGGUAGGAACACCUCCAGGCUCAGAGAUGGGGUUUGAAGUGUGUGUGGAUGGAUCCUCCAGGAGGGGUCCAGCAAAAAUUGGUUACUGAACCACUGCGGCUGACUAUCCAGUCCAAAUUGACUCAUCUGGUAUAAAUAAAUGGAAAGAGUUCUGCCUUCCAGGUAUCUGGCUCAACUGCAGUCUGCCCAGCUAGCCCAAA